GACGAACGCUGGCGGCGUGCUUAACACAUGCAAGUCGAACGGAAAGGCCCUGCUUUUGUGGGGUGCUCGAGUGGCGAACGGGUGAGUAACACGUGAGUAACCUGCCCUUGACUUUGGGAUAACUUCAGGAAACUGGGGCUAAUACCGGAUAGGAGCUCCUGCUGCAUGGUGGGGGUUGGAAAGUUUCGGCGGUUGGGGAUGGACUCGCGGCUUAUCAGCUUGUUGGUGGGGUAGUGGCUUACCAAGGCUGUGACGGGUAGCCGGCCUGAGAGGGUGACCGGCCACAUUGGGACUGAGAUACGGCCCAGACGCCUACGGGAGGCAGCAGUGGGGAAUAUUGCACAAUGGGCGGAAGCCUGAUGCAGCAACGCCGCGUGCGGGAUGACGGCCUUCGGGUUGUAAACCGCUUUCGCCUGUGACGAAGCGUGAGUGACGGUAAUGGGUAAAGAAGCACCGGCUAACUACGUG
rnacentral:rRNA from 1 species